rnacentral:rRNA from 1 species
CGGACGGGUGAGUAAUGUCUGGGAAACUGCCUGAUGGAGGGGGAGUAACUACUGGAAACGGUAGCUAAUACCGCAUAACGUCGCAAGACCAAAGAGGGGGACCUUCGGGCCUCUUGCCAUCAGAUGUGCCCAGAUGGGAUUAGCUAGUAGGUGGGGUAACGGCUCACCUAGGCGACGAUCCCUAGCUGGUCUGAGAGGAUGACCAGCCACACUGGAACUGAGACACGGUCCAGACUCCUACGGGAGGCAGCAUG